rnacentral:rRNA from 1 species
GUCCACGCUGUAAACGAUGAGUGCUAGUUGUUGGGGUAUUUAUAUCUCAGUGACGAAGCUAACGCGAUAAGCACUCCGCCUGGGGAGUACGGCCGCAAGGUUAAAACUCAAAGGAAUUGACGGGGGCCCCGCACAAGCGGUGGAGCAUGUGGUUUAAUUCGACGCAACGCGAAGAACCUUACCAACCCUUGACAUGUGUAUCAUCGGGACCAGAGACGGUCCUUUCAGUUCGGCUGGAUACAACACAGGUGCUGCAUGGCUGUCGU